GGGCCCUUAGCUCAGUUGGUAGAGCAACUGACUUUUAAUCAGUGGGUCGCAGGUUCGAAUCCUGCAGGGCUCACCA
rnacentral:tRNA from 224 species